rnacentral:rRNA from 1 species
AUUGAACGCUGGCGGCAGGCUUAACACAUGCAAGUCGAACGGUAACAUAAAGAAGCUUGCUUCUUUGAUGACGAGUGGCGGACGGGUGAGUAAUGCUUGGGAAUCUAGCUUAUGGAGGGGGAUAACUACGGGAAACUGUAGCUAAUACCGCGUAGAAUCGGGAGAUGAAAGUGUGGGACCUUCGGGCCACAUGCCAUAGGAUGAGCCCAAGUGGGACUAGGUAGUUGGUGAGGUAAAGGCUCACCAAGCCGACGAUCUCUAGCUGGUCUGAGAGGAUGACCAGCCACACUGGGACUGAGACACGGCCCAGACUCCUACGGGAGGCAGCAGUGGGGAAUAUUGCGCAAUGGGGGCAACCCUGACGCAGCCAUGCCGCGUGAAUGAAGAAGGCCUUCGGGUUGUAAAGUUCUUUCGGUAGCGAGGAAGGCAUUUAGUUUAAUAAACUGGAUGAUUGACGUUAACUACAGAAGAAGCACCGGCUAACUCCGUGCCAGCAGCCGCGGUAAUACGGAGGGUGCGAGCGUUAAUCGGAAUAACUGGGCGUAAAGGGCACGCAGGCGGUGACUUAAGUGAGGUGUGAAAGCCCCGGGCUUAACCUGGGAAUUGCAUUUCAUACUGGGUCGCUAGAGUACUUUAGGGAGGGGUAGAAUUCCACGUGUAGCGGUGAAAUGCGUAGAGAUGUGGAGGAAUACCGAAGGCGAAGGCAGCCCCUUGGGAAUGUACUGACGCUCAUGUGCGAAAGCGUGGGGAGCAAACAGG